UAACACAUGCAAGUCGAACGAUGAAGCCGUGAGCUUGCUCCUGGUGGAUUAGUGGCGAACGGGUGAGUAACACGUGAGUAACCUGCCCCAGACUCUGGGAUAAGCACUGGAAACGGUGUCUAAUACCGGAUACGAGCUUCAGCCGCAUGGCUAGGAGCUGGAAAGAAUUUCGGUCUGGGAUGGACUCGCGGCCUAUCAGGUAGUUGGUGAGGUAACGGCUCACCAAGCCGACGACGGGUAGCCGGCCUGAGAGGGUGACCGGCCACACUGGGACUGAGACACGGCCCAGACUCCUACGGGAGGCAGCAGUGGGGAAUAUUGCACAAUGGGCGCAAGCCUGAUGCAGCAACGCCGCGUGAGGGACGACGGCCUUCGGGUUGUAAACCUCUUUUAGUAGGGAAGAAGCGAAAGUGACGGUACCUGCAGAAAAAGCACCGGCUAACUACGUGCCAGCAGCCGCGGUAAUACGUAGGGUGCAAGCGUUAUCCGGAAUUAUUGGGCGUAAAGAGCUCGUAGGCGGUUUGUCGCGUCUGCUGUGAAAACUGGGGGCUCAACCCCCAGCCUGCAGUGGGUACGGGCAGACUAGAGUGCGGUAGGGGAGAUUGGAAUUCCUGGUGUAGCGGUGGAAUGCGCAGAUAUCAGGAGGAACACCGAUGGCGAAGGCAGAUCUCUGGGCCGUAACUGACGCUGAGGAGCGAAAGCAUGGGGAGCGAACAGGAUUAGAUACCCUGGUAGUCCAUGCCGUAAACGUUGGGAACUAGAUGUAGGGUCCAUUCCACGGAUUCUGUGUCGCAGCUAACGCAUUAAG
rnacentral:rRNA from 1 species